GGAGGCCUGGCGUGCUGCAGUCCAUGGGGUCGCAAAGAGUCAGACACGACUGAGCGACUGAACUGAGCUGAACUGGAGGUGGAACCAGGACCUUGUCUCAAGGCUGCAGUAUUGUUUCUUGGCUGCUCCUCCCUUGUCUCAGCAUCCCGUCCCUUCUCUGAUUAACAGCAGUUCUUUAAAUCUUCCUUUGGGAUUCAUGGAAGGUCAUGGAGGCUGGAGUCUAUUCCCUAUAGACAAGAAACAGCAGGGGAGGAGGGCAGAAAAGCCUCUGUGGCCAGGAGCCCCACAGGGUCCUACUUCGUUUCAGGAGGAAGGUGAGAGAACAGGACAGAAAAUGUUGGCAAGAGGAUCCCUAGGAGGGAAAGUGUUCCAAAGAGUUUAGAGGAAGAUUGAUGAGGCUGGACCCUUGCUUCAGGUUUGGAGGCAAGUAGACUAAAUACAGAGAUGCCAGACAGCCACUGAGGCCCAUGGACAGUCCUGCACUCACGCUGAUCUGUCGAACUUUAAAAGUUCCUAGUACUAUGCAACCUUUGCCAGACGAAAAGAAACUGAUGCCGAGAAGGCAUACUCUUCAAUACUGGGA
rnacentral:lncRNA from 1 species